rnacentral:rRNA from 1 species
UACGGAGGGAGCUAGCGUUGUUCGGAUAUACUGGGCGUAAAGCGCACGUAGGCGGCGCCGUAAGUCAGGGGUGAAAUCCCGGAGCUCAACUCCGGAACUGCCCUUGAAACUGCAGUGCUAGAAUCCUGGAGAGGCGAGUGGAAUUCCGAGUGUAGAGGUGAAAUUCGUAGAUAUUCGGAAGAACACCAGUGGCGAGGGCGACUCGCUGGACAGGUAUUGACGCUGAGGUGCGAAAGCGUGGGGAGCAAACAGG